rnacentral:rRNA from 1 species
UACAGAGGGUGCAAGCGUUGUCCGGAAUCAUUGGGCGUAAAGAGCGUGUAGGCGGCUAUUUAAGUCCUGCGUGAAAUCCUGCGGCUCAACCGCAGACGGUCGUGGGAAACUGGAUGGCUAGAGUGCGGGAGAGGAGAGUGGAAUUCCCGGUGUAGCGGUGAAAUGCGCAGAUAUCGGGAAGAACACCCGUGGCGAAGGCGGCUCUCUGGAACGCAACUGACGCUGAGACGCGAAAGCGUGGGGAGCAAACAGG